rnacentral:rRNA from 1 species
GAAUGCUGACAUAAGUAACGAUAAAGCGGGUGAAAAGCCCGCUCGCCGGAAGACCAAGGGUUCCUGUCCAACGUUAAUCGGGGCAGGGUGAGUCGACCCCUAAGGCGAGGCCGAAAGGCGUAGUCGAUGGGAAACGGGUUAAUAUUCCCGUACUUGGUGUUACUGCGAAGGGGGGACGGAGAAGGCUAUGUUGGCCGGGCGACGGUUGUCCCGGUUUAAGCGUGUAGGUGUGUGUUCCAGGUAAAUCCGGUUCACUUUAACACUGAGGCGUGACGACGAGGCACUACGGUGCUGAAGCAACAAAUGCCCUGCUUCCAGGAAAAGCCUCUAAGCAUCAGGUAACAUCAAAUCGUACCCCAAACCGACACAGGUGGUCAGGUAGAGAAUACCAAGGCGCUUGAGAGAACUCGGGUGAAGGAACUAGGCAAAAUGGUGCCGUAACUUCGGGAGAAGGCACGCUGACACGUAGGUGAAGUGAUUUACUCAUGGAGCUGAAGUCAGUCGAAGAUACCAGCUGGCUGCAACUGUUUAUUAAAAACACAGCACUGUGCAAACACGAAAGUGGACGUAUACGGUGUGACGCCUGCCCGGUGCCGGAAGGUUAAUUGAUGGGGUCAGCGCAAGCGAAGCUCCUGAUCGAAGCCCCGGUAAACGGCGGCCGUAACUAUAACGGUCCUAAGGUAGCGAAAUUCCUUGUCGGGUAAGUUCCGACCUGCACGAAUGGCGUAAUGAUGGCCAGGCUGUCUCCACCCGAGACUCAGUGAAAUUGAACUCGCUGUGAAGAUGCAGUGUACCCGCGGCAAGACGGAAAGACCCCGUGAACCUUUACUAUAGCUUGACACUGAACAUUGAGCCUUGAUGUGUAGGAUAGGUGGGAGGCUUUGAAGUGUGGACGCCAGUCUGCAUGGAGCCGACCUUGAAAUACCACCCUUUAAUGUUUGAUGUUCUAACGUGGACCCGUUACCCGGGUUGCGGACAGUGUCUGGUGGGUAGUUUGACUGGGGCGGUCUCCUCCUAAAGAGUAACGGAGGAGCACGAAGGUUGGCUAAUCCUGGUCGGACAUCAGGAGGUUAGUGCAAUGGCAUAAGCCAGCUUGACUGCGAGCGUGACGGCGCGAGCAGGUGCGAAAGCAGGUCAUAGUGAUCCGGUGGUUCUGAAUGGAAGGGCCAUCGCUCAACGGAUAAAAGGUACUCCGGGGAUAACAGGCUGAUACCGCCCAAGAGUUCAUAUCGACGGCGGUGUUUGGCACCUCGAUGUCGGCUCAUCACAUCCUGGGGCUGAAGUAGGUCCCAAGGGUAUGGCUGUUCGCCAUUUAAAGUGGUACGCGAGCUGGGUUUAGAACGUCGUGAGACAGUUCGGUCCCUAUCUGCCGUGGGCGCUGGAGAACUGAGGGGGGCUGCUCCUAGUACGAGAGGACCGGAGUGGACGCAUCACUGGUGUUCGGGUUGUCAUGCCAAUGGCACUGCCCGGUAGCUAAAUGCGGAAGAGAUAAGUGCUGAAAGCAUCUAAGCACGAAACUUGCCCCGAGAUGAGUUCUCCCUGAGACUUAAAGUCUCCUGAAGGAACGUUGAAGACGACGACGUUGAUAGGCCGGGUGUGUAAGCGCAGCGAUGCGUUGAGCUAACCGGUAC